rnacentral:rRNA from 1 species
UACGUAGGGGGCCAGCGUUGCUCGGAAUUACUGGGCGUAAAGGGUCCGUAGGCGGUGUAGCAAGUCGAUAGUGAAAUCUCUGGGCUUAACCCAGAGGCUGCUAACGAAACUGCUGUGCUAGAGUGUGAGAGAGGCGAGUGGAAUUACGGGUGUAGCGGUGAAAUGCGUAGAUAUCUGAAGGAACAUCAGUGGCGAAAGCGACUUCCUGGACGAAUACUGACGCUCAUGUGCGAAAGCGUGGGGAGCAAACAGG